ensembl:lncRNA
CAACACAAUGAAUGAAUUCCUAAAACACUCUCAAUGCUGGAGAGCGUUUGUGAUGCUGAAGCAGUGACCAGUUUUUCUGUUUCUUCUCUGGAGAUACACAAUGAGGGACGUCUGCAGCGACUGAGAAAGAGUCUCACCACAUCCUGACAUGAGGAAAAAGACUUUAUUGAAGACUACAAUGAGAAAAACUAUCAGACAGCAGACGGCUGCAUUCAAGAUUGUUCCAGAUAAGACAAGUACAAGAUUCUUCAGAGCCGUUCUACCACGAGCCUGACAGGAAGAACUCCAACAGCUACUGAAUGUUCCUGUGGUCCCUUCAAGGCUACAGGAGGAGUCCUACGAGG